rnacentral:rRNA from 1 species
CACGUAGGGUGCGAGCGUUGUCCGGAAUUAUUGGGCGUAAAGAGCUCGUAGGCGGUGUGUCGCGUCGGCCGUGAAAACCUGCAGCUUAACUGUGGGCGUGCGGUCGAUACGGGCAUCACUGGAGUUCGGCAGGGGAGACUGGAAUUCCUGGUGUAGCGGUGAAAUGCGCAGAUAUCAGGAGGAACACCGGUGGCGAAGGCGGGUCUCUGGGCCGAUACUGACGCUGAGGAGCGAAAGCUAGGGGAGCAAACGGG